rnacentral:rRNA from 1 species
UACGUAGGGACCGAGCGUUGUCCGGAUUCAUUGGGCGUAAAGAGCUCGUAGGCGGCCACUCAAGUCGAAUGUGAAACCUCGAGGCUUAACCUCGAGCCUGCAUUCGAUACUGGGCGGCUAGAGUCUGGUAGGGGGAUCUGGAAUUCCUGGUGUAGCGGUGGAAUGCGCAGAUAUCAGGAGGAACACCGGUGGCGAAGGCGGGUCUCUGGGCCGAAACUGACGCUGAGGAGCGAAAGCAUGGGGAGCGAACCGG